AUUGAACGCUGGCGGCAGGCCUAACACAUGCAAGUCGAACGGUAACAGGAAGACGCUUGCUUCUUUGCUGACGAGUGGCGGACGGGUGAGUAAUGUCUGGGAAACUGCCUGAUGGAGGGGGAUAACUACUGGAAACGGUAGCUAAUACCGCAUAACGUCGCAAGACCAAAGAGGGGGACCUUCGGGCCUCUUGCCCUCGGAUGUGCCCAGAUGGGAUUAGCUAGUAGGUGGGGUAACGGCUCACCUAGGCGACGAUCCCUAGCUGGUCUGAGAGGAUGACCAGCCACACUGGAACUGAGACACGGUCCAGACUCCUACGGGAGGCAGCAGUGGGGAAUAUUGCACAAAGGGCGCAAGCCUGAUGCAGCCAUGCCGCGUGUAUGAAGAAGGCCUUCGGGUUGUAAAGUACUUUCAGCGGGGAGGAAGGGAGUAAAGUUAAUACCUUUGCUCAUUGACGUUACCCGCAGAAGAAGCACCGGCUAACUCCGUG
rnacentral:rRNA from 1 species